GAUCCUGGCUCAGAUUGAACGCUGGCGGCAGGCCUAACACAUGCAAGUCGAACGGUAACAGGAAGCAGCUUGCUGCUUCGCUGACGAGUGGCGGACGGGUGAGUAAUGUCUGGGAAGCUGCCUGAUGGAGGGGGAUAACUACUGGAAACGGUAGCUAAUACCGCAUAAUGUCGCAAGACCAAAGAGGGGGACCUUCGGGCCGUCUUGCCAUCGGAUGUGCCCACGAUGGGAGUUAG
rnacentral:rRNA from 1 species